AAGAAGAAAUCAAAAAUAAUCAAAGCGGCGUAUCGCUUGGCGAAACCCCUGAACUGCUGGGCGAAACCCCUGAACAUUUCACGGUGUAACCAUGAUUGCUUCAGGAGCUUCGCCCAAGCUCUUCAUCAUUCACCCGUGGAUAUGCUCUAAUUUU
rnacentral:lncRNA from 1 species